UUGGUCCACAAACCAACCCCACUAUUUAGAUGGGUUAAUUAAUCUGUAUUGCAAGACAAUUUCACUGUCAAAUACCCAAGCAAAUGUUAAUGCUGACACAUAUAUUGCAAUACCUUCGUUCAGCACGUUCCUUCUUCUUUAAGGCAACAUCCAAAUCCUGCAACUGUUCUUCUAAUUUCUCACAUAGCAGUUUCUGAAGGAGCAACAUAGAUAUCUAAACAAGAGGUAAAUGCCAUUUACAAAUUGCUUUGAAGAUCAAAGAUGUUUGGUGGCUGCCAAGAAGUAUUACUAUGAACAUGAAAUCAAGAACAACUUGGUCGAGAAAAACAGAGAGUUGGGCACACAAUACCUGGAGCCAAGUAACCAAAACCAUUUGCUAAGUAUGACAGACUAGGAAGGGUCCUUGAUGGCUUCGUGGAGUUGCUGUACUAGAACUGGACUACUUACCACUUGACUUCUUAUUACAAGAAAAAAAUAAAAAAUAA